CGCAUCACCCCUACCAGUGCCGAAGAGAAGUGUCAACGACGAUCGAGCCGAUUGGCAAAGCAGGGGAAAAUUUAGAAAAACUUGAAAGUCAUCCCGCUAGCAAGUCACGCCGACGUCGGGUAGUACGAAAAGUAGUAGAUUAUUUAGUUGUAGCCGAAUUUAUCUAAAUUAUAUCGGGCACCUGUACGCUUAAAGCGCGAGCUCGAUUAUACGAUUGUUAGAUCAGGC